rnacentral:lncRNA from 1 species
AUUUUAUUCUAAAUUGGCUUAAAAUGGUAUGUAUACCAUGUGUAGCUAUACCAAUAUUACUCAUUAUAUGGAGAUUCUUGAUACAGCCAUUAUUUAUAAAAUGGUGGCAGUUCAGAAACAAACAAAUAGAAUUAACAAAUAAUGAACAACCCCCACAGCUUGUAAAGGAAUGUAAAAAUGGAGUUUGUACAUUAUCAUGGACAAAAAAUCAAGACGAAAAUUCGAUGAAAAAGGAUUGAAAUGAAACUUGUCUAUAAACACAAUUAUUCUGAAUAUAAUUUAUUGUACAAUAUUAAA